CAAAUUAACCAACUCAAUUAAUUCAACAUGUUUAGUCCUUUAAUCUUUAUUCUUAGUACUACCUUUGUGACCCCACACUCCUAAUCAUAUAAGCUAAAGUAUUGCACAUGCAAUCUUUGGAAGAUAUAAACAAAACAUAAAUAUAGAUAGAUUAUCUUUCUAUUAGGUUGAGCCAUCUGAUCUGACAAAUGCUACACUCAUGAUCCAUCAAUUUUGUCUUGCUCACUAUGCUUAAGGUUAGAGAAGAACAAAUACACUUUUGGUUCUGUUGGUGUUUUCCACCAACAGGGCCCAUGAACUUGAUCUCUACCUUGUCUCUAUGAGCAGGAACACUUCGAGCAUAAUAUGAAGGAGUUUUACAACUCCCAGAUUCCACCAAGUGAAGAACUAGGAUCUACGAGCACAAACACACUGGAGAUACUGGACGCUCAGGCAAUCACUGCCCUAAGAUGCUUGAGGACGUGAACUACAUCAACAACAAUAACAACUAUUACUACAACCGUCCUCAACAACAUCAAGGUUGGAAUCAACAGAGGCCUAAUUACUCAGAGAGGUGAUCUAGGACGCCCCGUCAUCCCGAUCUCCAUCGGCAUGGUGGACUUCCCAGAAGCACUCUGCGACUUUGGCUCUAGCGUCAACAUUAUGCCCAGGGUUGCAGAUCGGACACUCAGUUUCCCAAAGGAAAUAUUAAAGAACCUCUGCGUCCGAGUUGGUACCUUAUAUGCUCUAGCAGACUUCAUGGUGAUAGAGACUGGUACUGAGGAGAGGGCACCCAUCAUCUUAGGGAGGCCAUUCCUAAACACUAGAGCUGUCAUCUACGCUAAUGCUGCCAAGAUCAGUCUCUACAUCAAGGGGAAGAAGGAGACUUUCCUUCAAGAACAAGACUACACAAACUUCAGAGCAACCCCGACAUGAGCCAAGGAAGAGGACCAACAGGAGGAACAGGAACAAGCAAAUGUGGACCGAGUCAGCUAAGAUGGUCACUGCAGUUCAAGGAGGUCAAGAUCGUCGACUCAAGUCACCUUUCUUGAUCAAGAAGGACGACCCUGGUUUUCUAAGCAUUGAAGUGCACAAUCAACAGAUACUCUUUUCAGAAGACACUCUACGACACCGGAUCUGACGUCAACAUAAUGGCUGUAGUCACUUAUCAGCUCCUGCAUGAAACCAUGCCCCUACAACCAAUAUACAUUCAGCUAUAGAUGACUUUCAAGUUAUUGACAUGGGAGAAGAUGAAUAUGAUCCACCCACCAUCCUUGGAAGACAGUUCCUCAGCACUAUCAAAGCCAUCAUCUAUAUUGGAACCGGAGAAGUCCACAUACACUUCUCCUCUGAGAAGGUAUGCCGCUGUUUUACUGACCCUAACUAUAUAGUUGAAGACUCUAAGCAGGUCAGGACAAGAAGAAGACAUCGCAACCGCAACCAGAGGAGGCAAAUCAUCAAGGACGGAUGGGUAGACUACGAAGGAGAAGUGAUAAGGACUGAAGACAUACCACUUGAACAUAACUGUCCUGAGGAGACCAUAGCACCGAGUCAGGUGUGGAGAGAGAAUAUAGUUACACACGAAGAGGAGGCGCCACCGGAAUCACCGACUACGUCAUCCAGCGAAUCCUAGGACGAUUAAGAAAAUGGAGAGUCCCGCUCGGAGGACUUAAAAACACCGAACGCCUUGCCAAGAGAUAAACUUGGUAGUUAUCCUUUCCCUUUUAAUUAUUUCAAAUAGUUUACUUAGUUAAUCAUGUUCGUAUUAUCCUAGAAAGAAAAUAAAAAAAAAUGUGAAAAAAAAAACUGUAAGCCCCAUGUGAGUAGACGAGUGGCAUAAAACCCAUAAGUACAUUCACUGUGGUGGCAUAAAAAUAAAAUAAAUAUUUUUCUGCUUUAUAAAAACAAAAAUAUAAAAACAGGGAGUAAUAUUUAUUAAGGAGUCUCAACAUGAUAAAGGCUAGAUGUUUAUGCUAACACUUAACCAGUUCCACAAGCUUUGUUGUCUAUUUGAGCUCCACAGAAUUUAAGAAUCAAGAAGACUAGCAGACGGAGGACAUUCUAAUCGCUGUCAAAAUACUGCUGAAUUUCAAACACACCUCUGCCACCUGCUAGCUACAUCAAGAGAAAUUACGUCAAAAUUCAGCUUGGGGGAGAGCACCCCCAUUUAUCUCGAUAAGUAUUUCUAUCUAUCUUUAUACUUAUACUAUAUUAGAAUAUAAAUAAACAUAACUAUGAAAAACCAAAUAAAGAUUUUAUGCUUAUAUAUAUUUUGCUUAGUGUGUUUAAUAAAUAAAAAAGUGGCUAUGCUAAUCGGUAUCUAAUAAAACUUAAGCUUGGAUAUGAUGAAUAGUUGCUCUGCCUAAUUUGCAAAUUAGAAGUUCUCUCUCAAGUUUAGAUAUAACUGUUAUAAUUUAAGGCUUGCUCUAGACCUAAACUUGUGGGAUGAAAACUUGAUCUGAAGUCUAAGUUGUUAACGGAUACGAUAUGGGAAGGUUGAGCUGCUGUUUAUCUGUUCCUAGAGAUGCUAGAAUUCUGGAGAAUUUUAUCUUUGAAAAAUCUUUAAAAUAACACAUGAUGAGUUCCUGUAUGAUGAGAGUUUAAAUUCCUACCACAGCCAUAUAUACAUGCUUGCUAGACCUUGAGCCACACAUUUACUAUUUACUGCUUAUGAGCAUUGAGUGUGGUCAAGCUGUGUAGACCCUUAGGAGCUUGUCAUGUGGUUAAAUCAAGAUUCACUUGCACGUUCACUCAUACAUGCUACUUCUACUCCGGAAGUACCAUCCACAUAUAUCCACUCAUUUCCAUCUCCAAAACCACCCAAAAGUAUUCUACUCCAAAUCCGGGAGAGAAUAACCAAAAAUAUUUUUGUUUGCCCUUGUGAAAUAAAUGCUCAAGUUAUCUUGUUACUACCACUUGCUAUAUUAUCUCAAGAGAUGAAUGCUCUAAAAAAAGAGAAAAAGAAAAUAAAAGAUACGAGGAAAUAAAAAGGAGCAAGUGCUCGGAACCUCGAAAGAAAAGAAAAAUAUAGAGCAUCCCAUUCUCCUCAUAAAGUUUCAAAAGCAAGGAAGGUAUGUAUCCCCUCAAAGAGCAAAGUAGAAUUAGACUUCCACCACCAUUAUCACCAUCAUCACCAUUGUUGGGUAUUUUAAACGCAAACAGAAAAAUCCGCAAGCGCACGGAUACCGAUGUAGCUUUCACCCGGGAGUAUUCCAGAGUAUCGAUUUUCCACAGGGAACGUGAGUGUACUAAUUAAGACUCAAGAUCAUCCAAGGAUAACUAUAUAAUUAAUUUUGGUGGGAAGAGAGGAAGUUUCCUGAGAGUUCUCUAGUUGAUCUAAGAAUCAAGAAUUACUUCAAGAUUAUUUAUUUUGGGACAUCAGAACACUAACCACAGAAAGAGAUGAGAAGGGGUCUAGGAAGCUCCGACUACGGUCCUACAAACACCGAUCCGAAUGUGGUGGAAUACGUCGACCGUUAGGGCUGUCACUACCCUAAGGCUACCACAACAAUCCGCAGGAUUGGGUGCAAUUCCAGGUAAUUGCAAGACUAAACACCACGUCUAAUCUAUUAAUUACUACUCUAGCGUUAUAAAGACUAGAGCACUUGAUGCAAGCGGGAAUCCAAUAAAUAACUUGAAUGUAAAUAAAAGUAAUUAGAGAACUCACGAGUUAUGAAUUGAAGAACCUGGAUAACGAUGAAGAACGAACCAGAUGCUGCAAAAGUAUAAUGUUGAAGAAGAUCCGACAGAUCCGGCUCCUCCUCCGCUCUCCUCUUCUCUCUCCCUAUUUUCUAGAUUACAACUAGAACUAACUAGAACUAGAACUAGAGGAACUAGAACUAGAACUAGAACUAGAUGAACUAGAACUAGAUCUAGAUGAACUAGAGGUAGAACUAGAAGAACUAGAGGGAUCCUCUCUACUUGGAUGAAGAAUUGAAACCCUAGCUUUGAUUCUGUAGAAGAGGUAUGAUCUCCAGGGGCCAGGGGGGUCUGGUUUUAUAGUCCCUUCAAGUGAAUCUGGGCCGUCGGAUCAAACCGACAUUGAUCGUGUGGUUUUCCUUGAAGUAUUAGGUCGGUGGAGCAUGAUCCCCGAACUUCACCCUGAUUGGUCCAGGGGGGAGGGUGGGCGCCCUCAGGACUAGGGCGGGCGCCCUGUCCCUGAGGCCUCUCGGCUUCUGCUUCGGUCCCGUGGCUUCUGAAGUCUUCUAGAUGAUAGAAAAUUGCGCGGCACGUUAAUAUCUCUAUGUAAACCCGACGUGUGGGCCUUUCCUCCAUAUUUCCUGAUAACCCCCUGCAGAAAUAGACAAACACCAAAACUCGUGGAAUUCUGUCAGAUAAAACCCUAAGUCUAGGUGUUGGUUGCAUUUGGAUCCUUUUCUAUGAUUAAUUGAUGGUUAAAUAUGUGCAUUAAGGACCGUCAACAAGCUCCCCCAAGCUUAACCUUUGCUCGUCCCUGAGCAAAGAUGAACUCAAGAGUUUCUGCAGUGGUUUCAUAACUUAAAGAUACACAUGCGUUUAAACAAGAUCUCAUCUCUGGUUAGAGUAAACUGUUAAGACUUAAAACUUACUCAUUUACCUUUCACCAUGGGACUUGUAACCGUCACUUCUGUCUUGAGUAGUUAAAAGAUUGAACAGUCUAGUCAAGCACCAUGUCUCUUGUUCUUCGAUUAACUAUAGCUCUAGAGUUUUUGCAGAUUUUCAAAUAAAACUCAGAGAUUCCUUGUAUGACUCUCUCUAGUCUCUCUUUUGUGGUAUUUCUGGAUCCUUACCAAGGCAGUAAAGGUGUAUGCCUUCUCUCAAAGUAUGUGGUAUUUUUGGUAUGAGGAAUAGUGACAUUGCCUUCUCUCUCACCCUACUCUAAUAAGGUUUUGAUAUCUGGAGCUCAUAGGUGGGAGACAGCUAAUACAUACUUACAAGACAUUUAUUGCAUAGUCAAACCAUGGAUCCAGAAGAACAUGUCAAUAAGUCAAAUCAAGAUGUGCAUGUGUGGCGAAUGGUGAUAAUGGUGAAAGUAAUGGUGAAAGUCUAAUUCUACUUUUGCUCUUUUGAGGGGAUACAUACCUUUCUUGCUCUUUGAAACUUUUUGAGGAGAAUGAGAUGCUCUAUGUUUUCUUUUUCUUUUCUCUCAGGUGGGUAUCUUGUACCCCUAAUUCUACUAUCGGACACUUGUCCAUUUUUAUCUCUCGUCUCACUUUUUUCUUUUCUUUCGAGGUUCCGGGCACUUGCCCCUUUUUAUUUCCUCGUAUCUCAUUUUUUUUCUUUUUCUUCUCUUUUUUUUAGAGCACUCAUCUCAUGAGAUAAUAUAGCAAGUGGUAGUAACAAGAUAACUUGAGCAUUUAUUUCACAGGGGAAAAACAGAAAUAUUUUUGGCUAUUCUCUCCCGGAUUAGGAGUACAAUAUUUUUGGGUGGUUCUGGAGAUGGAAAUGGAUAUAUGUGGAUGCGUACUUCCGGAGUAGAAGCAGCAUGUAUGAGUGAACGUGCAAGUGAAUCUUGAUUUAACCACAUGACAAGCUCCUAAGGGUCUACAAAGCUUGACCACACUCAAUGCUCAUAAGCAGUAAAAAGUAAAUGUGUGGCUCAAAGUCUAGCAAGCAUGUAUAUAUGGCUGUGGUAGGAAUUUAAACUCUCAUCAUACAGGAACUCAUCAUGUGAUAUUUUAAAGAUUUUCAAAGAUAAAAUUCUCCAGAAUUCUAGCAUCUCUAGGAACAGAUAAACAGCAGCUCAACCUUCCCAUAUCGUAUCCGUUAACGACUUAGACUUUAGAUCAAGUACUCUCCCCACAAGUUCAGGUUUAGAGCAAAUGUUAAUUAAUAACAGUCAUGCCUAAACUUAAGAGAGAUUUCAAUUUUGAGAAUUUAGUCAUGGCAGAGCAACUAUUCAUCAUUUCCAUGUGAGAGCUUAUCAUGAGGGUUCAUAGCAAACUUUAUUUAUUUAUUUAUUUAGCAAACUAAGCAAAGAUAUAAGCACAAAAUCUUUGUUUUAUGAUUAUGCGUAUUUUUAUUAUUUGAGUAAAGUAUAACCAUGAGUAGAACACUUAGCUGGAUAAAUGGGGGUUGCUCUCCCCCAAGCUGGGUUUUGACGUAAUUCCUUCUGAUGUAGCUAGCAGCUGGCGGAGGUGUAUUUCAAUGUCGGCAGCACUCUGUCAGCGAUUAGGAUGUCCUCCGUCUGCUAGUCUUCUUUGAUCCUUGAAUUCUGUGGAGCUCAAAUAGACAACAAAGCUUUGUGGAACUGGUUAAGUGUUAGCAUAAAUAUCUAGCCUUUAUCAUAUUGAGCCUCCUCGAUAAAUAUUACUCUCUUUAGUAGGAUCAUAAAUUUAUUUUUAUAAUUUUAUUUUUAUAGGACAGGAAUAUAUUUAUUUUAUUUUUAUGCCACCACAGUGAAUGUACUUAUGGGUUUUAUGCCAUUAGCAUACUCACAUGGGGCUUACUAUUUUUAACAUUUUUAUUUUCUUUUUAAGAUGAUAUGAACCUGAUUAACUAAGCAAAAUGUUUUAAAUAAUUGAAAGGAAAAAGAUAACUACCAAGUUUACCUCAUGGCAAGGCGUUCGGUGUUUUUAAGUCCUCCGAACGGGACUCUCUAUUUUCUCAUUCGUCCAGGGAUUCGCUGGAUGGCGUAGUCGGUGGUUCCGGCGGUGCCUUCUCUUCGUGUAUAACUAUCUUCUCUCUCCACACCUGACUCGGUGCUACGGUCUCCUCAGGACAGUUCUGUUCAAGCUGUAUGUCUUCAGAUCUUACUACUUCUCCUUCGUAGUCUACCCAUCCGUCCUUGAUGAUUUGUCUUCUCUGGUUGCAGUUGCGUCGUCUUCUUCUUGUCCUGACCUGCUUAGAGUCAACUAUAUAGUUAGGGUCAGUAAAAUAGCAGCGUACCUUCUCAGAGGGGAAGUGCAUGUGGACUUCUCCGGUUCCAAUGUAGAUGAUUGCUUUAACAGUGCUGAGGAACGGUCUUCCAAGGAUGAUGGGUGGAUCGUACUUGUCUUCUCCCAUGUCAAUAACCUUCAAAUCAUCUGGAGCUGAAUGUAUGUCGGUUUUAGGGGCAUGGUUCCGAAUAGGAGCUGAUAGGUGACUGGCAGCCAUUAUGUUGACACCUAACCCGGUGUCGCAAAGCAUCUUCUGGAAGUUGUAUCCAUCAAUGGAGCACUGGAAGCUUGGCAUAUUUGGGUCAUCCUUUUUGGUUAGGAAUGAUGACUUAAGUCGACGAUCUUGACCUCCUUGAACUGCAGUGACCAUCUUUGCUGACUUGGUCCACAUUUGCUUGUUCCUGUUCCUCCUGUUGGUCCUCUUCCUUGUUUCAUGUCAGGAUUGCUCUGAGAUUUGUGUAGUCUUGUUCUUGAAGGAAAACGUCUCCGUCCUUCCCUUGAUGUAGAAACUGAUCUUGGCAGCACUAGCGUAGAUGACGGCUCCCGAGGUGUUCAGGAAUGGCCUCCCUAAGAUGGGUGCCCUCUCAUCAGUACCAGUCUCUAUCACCACGAAGUUUGCUGGGGCGUACAAGGUACCAACUCGAACGCAGAGGUUCUUCAAUAUUCCCUUUGGGAAACUUAGUGUCUGAUCUACAGGCUUGGGCAUAAUGUUGACGCUGGAGCCAAAGUCGCAGUGUGCUUCUAGGAAGUCCACCAUGCCGAUGGAGAUCGGGAUGACGGGGUGUCCUGGAUUGUCUCUCUUGACCGGCAGAAGGUCAGUAAUUACUUCCACUACGGGGUUACUCCAGUAGUUACGUCCUCAAGCAUCUCAGGGCAGUGAUUGCCUGAGUGUCCAGUAUCUCCAGUGUGUUUGUGCUCGUAGAUCUAGGUUUUUCACUUGGUGGAGUCUGAGAGUUGUAAAACUCCUUCAUAUGCUGCUCGAAGUGUACCUGCUCAUAGAGACAAGGCAUAGAUCAAGUGCAUGGGAUCUGUUGGUGGAAAACACUAACAGAACCAAAAGUGUAUUUAUUCUUCUCUAUCCUUAAGCAUAGUGAGCAAGGCAAAGUUGAUGGAUAAUAAGAUCAUGAGUGUAGCAUUUAGAACAUUUGUCAGAUCAGAUUGCUCAAUCUAAUGGAAAGAUAAUCUAUCUAUACUUAUAUAUAUUUUUUUAUAUAUAUCUUCCAAAGAUUGAGUGUGCAACAUUUUAGCUUAUAUGAUUAGGAGUAUGAGAUCACAAAGGUGGAAGGACUAAACAUGUUGAAUCGAUUAGGUUGGUUAAUAUAGAGUUGUAAAUCAUACAUGUUUGUCUCUUUUAUUCAUGUGAACGCCAGAACCAAGGAGAACCUUAUAAAAGUGAUAGUCAAGUACCUUAAGAUGAUACCUUACUUGAAGAAUGAUGGUAUAGUAUCACCUUGUGGAAGCUUUCCUUUCUUAGUGGUUGUGCAUCGUGUUUGUAGCACCCUCCAUGGAUCAUCUCUUGUGAGCUAUGCCUUCCUUGUGUAAAUUGUUAAACUUCAUGUGUGUCUCUCUUUGUCUCCAAUGUGAGUUUAUCUCAGGACUUCCCAGGUCGAUAUUGAAAGUUUUCCUGCAGGGGUUAUUCCAACAAAAUAUCCAAUAUCUACUAUAGCAUACUAUCGGCUCAAAAAUCAACCUAGACACCAUGUCUAAUUUGAUUCAGGAGGGCAUUUUAACCUAAGCAUCUAGCUUGAUUUAAAAACCCUUGGAAGUACGAUCAUCAGCCCUAAACUAAGCACCAUGCUUAAUUAAGAGAUAAAUGAAACUACUCCAAACCUGGACAUAUACUAAAGCAAAUAAAGGUAGCAUGAGAGCAUUUAUAGAGAUCUACUCAAGUGGAGAUGAAGUAGAUUAGUAUUUAACAAAUUGAGCAUGUCUCAAAGGUAGGGACAACCAACAUAGCAACAUGGCAAAUGAUGUUUUUAUAUAAAGUACUCCCCCAAGCUUGAAUUUUGCAAAAUUCAAGUUUGGAUGAAUUUAAUUCAAUGUUGUAUCAUGAUUGGUUGGACAUACCUUGUGCUUGUCAUUCAUCCGAUCUUCUUGCUCCAAUCCUGGAAAGGUUAGUGACAAUAAUACCCGAAGGAAUAUUUUUACAAUUAUCCUGAUAUGCUCAACACACAAGGUAAUGUUGUAAAUAAUUAAGAGCUCAUGUUACAAUCUGAUCAGUGCUUGUUUUAGGACACUAAGCUUGUCCUUGGGAAACCAUCAAUUUAUGUCAGUGAAGUGGUUUCCCCUCCAACGCUGACCUAUAUCAAGAUCAACUCAACGAGAUCUGCAAAAUUUAUUAUAAACAUAUGCAUCGACAACCGCCCUUUUAAAGUUUUUAUAAAUAGAAAGGAAGAGGGGGUUGGAGAUCUCGAAUGUGGUGAUGUUGGAGAGACCAAUGGAUUGUGAAGAUGUUGCAUAUGAGCAUGGAGUAAAUGAAGUGGCUAUGAAAUAAAUUCCAUGCUCAUUAAUGCUUAGAGUAAAAUCCAUGUGGUAUGGUGAAAAUGGUAAGGUGAGUGUGGUAAAAAAGGAAAAGAAAAAGGAUACAUGGACGACUUGGUUCGAAACUAGCACAGCUACCGUUCCCCGGCAACGGCGCCAGAAAGCUUGUUGGGUAUUUUAAACGCAAACAGAAAAAUCCGCAAGCGCACGGAUACCGAUGUAGCUUUCACCCAGGAGUAUUCCAGAGUAUCGAUUUUCCACAGGGAACGUGAGUGUACUAAUUAAGACUCAAGAUCGUCCAAGGAUAACUAUAUAAUUAAUUUUGGUGGGAAGAGAGGAAGUUUCCUGAGAGUUCUCUAGUUGAUCUAAGAAUCAAGAAUUACUUCAAGAUUAUCUAUUUCGGGACAUCAGAACACUAACCACAGAAAGAGAUGAGAAGGGGGCUAGGAAGCUCCGACUACGGUCCUACAAACACCGAUCCGAACGUGGUGGAAUACGUCGACCGUUAGGGCUGUCACUACCCUAAGGCUACCACAACAAUCCGCAGGAUUGGGUGCAAUUCCAGGUAAUUGCAAGACUAAACACCACGUCUAAUCUAUUAAUUACUACUCUAGCGUUAUAAAGACUAGAGCACUUGAUGCAAGCGGGAAUCCAAUAAAUAACUUGAAUGUAAAUAAAAGUAAUUAGAGAACUCAGGAGUUAUGAAUUGAAGAACCUGGAGAACGAUGAAGAACGAACCAGAUGCUGCAAAAGUAUAAUGUUGAAGAAGAUCCGACAGAUCCGGCUCCUCCUCCGCUCUCCUCUUCUCUCUCCCUAUUUUCUAGAUUACAACUAGAACUAACUAGAACUAGAACUAGAGGAACUAGAACUAGAACUAGAUGAACUAGAACUAGAUCUAGAUGAACUAGAGGUAGAACUAGAAGAACUAGAGGGAUCCUCUCUACUUGGAUGAAGAAUUGAAACCCUAGCUUUGAUUCUGUAGAAGAGGUAUGAUCUCCAGGGGCCAGGGGGGUCUGGUUUUAUAGUCCCUUCAAGUGAAUCUGGGCCGUCGGAUCAAACCGACAUUGAUCGUGUGGUUUUCCUUGAAGUAUUAGGUCGGUGGAGCAUGAUCCCCGAACUUCACCCUGAUUGGUCCAGGGGGGAGGGCGGACACCCUCAGGACUAGGGCGGGCGCCCUGUCCCUGAGGCCUCUCGGCUUCCGCUUCGAUCCCGUGGCUUCUGGAGUCUUCUAGAUGAUAGAAAAUUGCGCGGCACGUUAAUAUCUCUAUGUAAACCCGAUGUGUGGGCCUUUCCUCCAUAUUUCCUGAUAACCCCCUGCAGAAAUAGACAAACACCAAAACUUGUGGAAUUCUGUCAGAUAAAACCCUAAGUCUAGGUGUUGGUUGCAUUUGGAUCCUUUUCUAUGAUUAAUUGAUGGUUAAAUAUGUGCAUUAAGGACCGUCAACAACCAUACACCAUUCACAUGCACAUCUUGAUUUGGCUUAUUGAUUUGUUUCUUUGGAUCCAUGGUUUGACUAUACAAUAAAUGUCUUGUAAGUAUGUAUACUUUAUCUCCGACCUAUGAGCUCCAGAUAUUAAAGCCUUAUUAGAGUAGGGUGAGAGAGAAGGCAAUGUCACUAUGCCUCAUUCCACAAAUACCACAUAUUUUGAGAGAAGGCAUAUACCAUCACUGCCUUGGUAAGGACCCAGAAAUACCACGAAAGAGAGACCUGAGAGAGUCAUAUAAGGAAUCUCUGAGUUUUAUUUGAAAAUCUGCAAAAACCCCAGAGCUAUAGCUGAUCAAGAAUAAGAGACAUGGCACUUGGCUAGACUGUUCUAUCUUUUAACCACUCAAGACAGAAGUGACGGUUACAAGUCCUAUGGUGUAGGUAAAGUAAGUAAGUUUUAAGUCUUAAUAGUUUAUUCUAACUCAGAGAUGAGAUCUUGUUUAAAUGCGUGUGUACUUCUAAGAAAUGAAACCACUGCAGAAACUCUUGAGUUCAUCCUUGCUUAGGGACGAGCAAGAGGUAAGCUUGGGGGAGUUUGUUGACGGUCCUUAAGUAUCAAAUAUAAUCAUCAAAUAAAUAAAGAAAAGGAUCCAAAUGCAACCAACACCUAGACUUAGGGUUUUAUCUGACAGAAUUCCACGAGUUUUGGUGUUUGUCUAUUUCUGCAGGGGGUUAUCAGGAAAUAAGGAAUAAAGGCCAACAUGUCGGGAUUACAUAGAGAUAUCAACCCACCGCGCAAUUUUCUACCAUCUAGAAGACUCCAGAAGCCACGGGAAGGAAGCGGAGCCCGAAAGGGGCCAGGCCCAGGGCGCCCGCCCUGAGGACCUGGGCGCCCGCCCCCCUCUGGACUCCGUUCCGGACUCUCUUCGCACACGACGUUCCACCGACCUAUUGGAUCCAGAAUAACAUAGUACCACCUCGCCUAUCGACCCAAAAACGCAUAGAAGGGGAGGACUAUAUAAGGAGACCCCCCUGGCCCCUGGAGAAUAUAAGAAAUUAUCAUAGAGAUUGAGGGGUGCCCUCGAAGGAAAACCUCUUCUCUAAAUAAUAUUUCGUUUUAGGCUUAGCAACCAAUGUAAGGUAGAAAUAGAUCUUCUAGUUUCUACUAGAUUGGGAGAGAUAGAGUGGAGGUGUGGAUCGGAGGAAGGCCGGCCUGUCGGUGUCUACUCCGAGUUGUACCUACGGGAUCAAGUCUCCUAACUCGAGGCUUGCUUCUAAGAUUCUUCAGUAAUUCGACUUCUAAUACUAGUAAGUUCAUGUUUUAUUGUUCUUUGGUUUAUGAGUUUACUUUAAUCCUCUUCCGGUUGAGUAUUAGAGUAAUCACUUGUUAGCGUAAACGUGGUGUUUAGGCUAGGGUACUCAUAGAUAUCCCCUUGUUGACACCAGAAGUGGCAAACGGUUAUACCGCAAGCGUACGGUAGUCAAUGUAGCCUUCAUCGGGAGUAUUCCAGGUAUCGUGAUUUCCACGGGGAACGCGAAGUGAAUUAACUAGGCUUUAGAUCGUUAGGUGAUGAUCAAAGGGUCUAGGAUAAUGGGGUAGAGAGGUCUAACUAGUAUUAAUGCCUGGUCUUGGUAAUUAAGUAUAGUCAAGGUUUUUCACCUAACUCUUUACUGAGGGCGAUACCCGAAAAGGAGGAUUGAGUUAACGAAGUUUUUCACCUCCUCGUCUCCUAAGCGACUACCCUGCUCAGCCCAACUAUUAUUUGCAACUUGCCUACAACAGAUGCGAGGAACUUUCCGCCUAGCGAGGACUGUCACUCUCACACUAGGUGUCUACACAACUGCGACAAGGAGUCCACACUGGCAAGAAGUAGUCUAGACACCACGUCUAAACAAGCUCUUGCUACCCUAAGCUUAGCUAAAGCUAAGAGCACUCAAGAUCAAGCAAUGUGCCAGUAAAGGAUUCUUAUACUUAAAGUACCAGACCAAAUAUUAAAUACUAAAAAAGACUCAGAAGUAAGACUUACAAGAAGACCUGCUUCCGCUGAGGUGCUCCGCGAAGAAGACUCCCGACAGGCCGGGACUCCUCCUUGGAACUCCUCACUCUCUACUCACUAUGAUAGCACUAAGCUACUAAAGUAGUUUACUCCUAAGAUACAUGACUCUUAAGUGAAGGAAUAGGGGGGUAUUUAUAGUGGGAGAUGGAGUAGGGGCUACUCCGGUGCCACGUCAGCGAUCCGCGUCAUCUUCAUCAUGCACCAUUGGAUCAAACCGACUUCACAACCGCCAUCUGAUCAACGGUAGAGGCAAACUAACAUGUGCAACAUGUGGGCAAGGCCGGUGGGAGGCCAACCGACCCUGGAACCGCCAUGAAGUGGGGUCGGCCGACCCCCUAUCUGGCUGGUUGGGCCCACCUGCAGUGUCCUGGAGGCUCUCUGAUGUCGGUGGAGUUGAGCUGACCUGUGGGACCCACCAAAGUGGGGUCGCCCGACCCCAAUUCUAUGGGGUUAGGGUGUCAGCCCUGUCCUACAUGUCUUCCUCUUCAUGACUAUAAUGUUGUCUUGGUUACUGGUGUCACUGAUCUUUAGUUAUUCACCCCUUCUUAGUGUUUGGACCCUUGAAAAGUACCUGUUCUUACUCCUGCAACCAAAUAGUAGCAUGUACAUGUGGAACUAGGUUAUAUGUACCUAUAUUACUACUUUGUUUGGUUGUUUUCUCCCAAAAUGAGUCUUAUGUUGACGGUUAUGAUAGUAGAAAACAUGGUAUAAAUACCGUCAACAAGACCCCCCACACUUGAGUCUUUGCUCGUCCUCGAGUAAAGGUUAAAAAUGAGUGAUCAAUGGUUUCUAACUUAAGAUAGUAGUGAGCAUAAAAUGCUAGUUCGAACAUAGUUCAUCCAAAUGGGUUUUUGUGUAAGUGUCUAGCAUAUAUCCUUCAGAGGUUGAGAAAAGGAACAACUCUCAGAACAAGAUCAAAUUCCAAUUUCAUAUUCUUGGUACUUAGAGUUUUUAUGACACUUUUUAAAAUAAGUCACAUAGUUCAAUCCUACUCCUCAUUUAGCGCUCUAGAUCACUCAAAGUUUUUUUUUAGUAGUCCUCACCAAGGCAUGAAUGCCAACUUGUUUCAUCCUAUAACUAUAGGCUUAUAUGGGGCUUGGUAGGGAUAAACAAGGUAGCAUACUCUACUUUGCAAAUAUUGUUAAGUCAAAAACAAGGAUCCAAAGAGAGGAGUGUCAUAGUCAUAGAUCAAGAUGUGCAAGUGUGUUAUAUGGUGGACUAGGUUGCUCCUUUAUUUGCUACACUCUCUCUACUUGUAUAUUGAGACAUGGCUAGAUUUUCUUUUUCUUCGAGCUUUAUGUGCUCAAUUUUUUAUUAUUAUUAUUAUUUUGCCAAGCCUUUUAUGUCUCAUUUUCUAAACAAUAUUUAGAGAGGUGUUCUAACACUUAGAGUAUGGAGCAACCUAUUUAGUGGAUGCACAAUACAUGUGGUUGCGUACUUCCAGUGUAGAAGCAGCAUAUAUAUAUGUGGUGUGUACGUGAUCUUGAUCUUGUGACUAUGAUACAACUCUCACUAGGGUCAACAAGGUUUUGACAAAACUCAUUACAAAAGCAGGUUGCAUUUCAUAAAAUGGUUACUUGAAUAUCUAAGUGUAUGGCUUUUGGUGGGAAUUUCUUGCUAAUGAGGAGUAAAUGAUACUAUGGUUUUGUGAUAUUUUUGAAACAAAUCUCUAAGUACCUUGAAUAGAAAUGUUAUGAAUUCUUAGCCAAGAGUUAUAUCACUUUCAUCAACAACUUAGUCAAUAUGGUUCCUAUAGAUUUUUACCCAUGAGGAUGAACAAUUGUAAGAACUAUACUUUAUGUCACAAUUUCUCUUAAAUCAUGAACCAGUUCACUUUUUAUUUUGCAAACAAGUUUAAACUAUCAAAUUUUAUUUUAAUUGUGACACAAAGGUAAAGAAUUGGACAGACUGAGAGGGGGAAGAGUUAGCAAACCGGGCAGGAAAGAUGUGUUUCGUCGUAUAGAAGCUUCCUGGUGGGCCCAGGGCUCUAUGGAGGGGUCGGCCGACCCCACCUGGAGGUUCCUGGCCCUGCCACUCGAUUCUACGUCCCUCGGGAAGUCUUUCUGCACUUGUGUCGUUUCCUUUUGCCAUAGAAAGGGGGUCGGGCGACCCCCUCAUCGUGCCUGUUUUUGGUGCCAUGACGUGCCAAGGUGUAUGCAGUGUUGUUCCAUGCUCACGGCAGUUCAGAGAUGAAGUUGGGGGGUCGGGCGACCCCCCCACACUUGCAGUUUUCGUGCAGCUGAACUUAAAACAGAGAGACGAUCAAAUGCAGAUGUCCUGCUGGUGGCAACACACCAGCAGGACCAAAAACGACUCCAUUAAAUCAAAUUUCAAUUGUAUAGGCACUUUUACAUUGCGAAAUUCAAAGUGACAAAUUGAAAAAUAAAAUGAGUAAUCAAANNNNNNNNNNNNNNNNNNNNNNNNNNNNNNNNNNNNNNNNNNNNNNNNNNNNNNNNNNNNNNNNNNNNNNNNNNNNNNNNNNNNNNNNNNNNNNNNNNNNNNNNNNNNNNNNNNNNNNNNNNNNNNNNNNNNNNNNNNNNNNNNNNNNNNNNNNNNNNNNNNNNNNNNNNNNNNNNNNNNNNNNNNNNNNNNNNNNNGAGGAGCCAUGGAGAUGAAUCUCUUGCAAAGGAAUGGAGUCUAGGAGAGUCUGGUUCGAGGUGAAGAUGAGAAGGAAUGAAUUGAGAGGAGGAAGAAGAAGAAGAGGGGGGAUAAAUAGAUGUGUUUGGAGCCUGAGAGUUUGAAUUUUGAAAAGGAGCGUCGUGGAACGUUUGGGGGACGAUCCGAGACUCCAGGGGAUUUCAAAACUCAAAAUAUUGGGGUCGGGCGACCCCUAUAUUUCAGGAUUUUGAAUUUUGAAUUUCAGCACCGAACUCUAUUCAUUCCCCUCUUUCUAAACCUAUCCCCCCUUGGGCCAAAACCCCUAGAAGAGGGGUCGGCCGACCCCCAUUUGGGGUGUUCGGCGGCCCAACUUUGAUCCUACGUCAUCUAAAACCCUUUACAAACCUAUUUCAAAACAAAAAGGAACUAAAUAUAUUGAUUUAGCAAUUAUUUAAACAAAAAGGGGGUAAAAAGAAGGACAUGUGGAUUUUAAGACUUUGUGUCAGAUUCAAAUUCUAUCAUAUCAACUUCUUCUAAAGGUUCAUGUUCAUGGAAAACUUUGAGACGAUGACCAUUUACCUUAAAGGUGUUGCCGUCGUCGUCCCGCAGCGUUACCGCUCCAUGAGUCGCGGCGUCAACAACUGGUCCUUCCCAUUUGCUCCUUAGCUUUCCAUGGCCAAAUAACUUGACCCUUGAGUUGAACAUGAGAACCUUAUCCCCAGGAUGAAAUUCCUUUUGCUUGAUCCUUUUAUCAUGCCAUCUUUUUGUUCUCUCUUUGUAGAUCCUGGCAUUGUGAUAGGCUUUAUCUCUCCAUUCUUCUAGUUCGGAGAUUUGGAGCUUUCUAUUUCUUCCGGCCGAGGGCAAAUCCAUGUUCCAUUUCUUGAUUGCCCAGUGAGCUCUAUGCUCUAGCUCUACCGGUAGAUGGCAUGUCUUACCGUAUACAAGUUGGUAUGGUGUCAUACCAAUUGGGGUCUUGUAUGCGGUCCUGUAUGCCCAAAGUGCAUCUGGUAGAUGGCUUUUCCAGCCGGUUCCCAUCUUAGUGACAGUCUUCUGCAGAAUGUUCUUGAUUUGUUUGUUAGAUGUUUCUGCUUGUCCGCUCGUUUGAGGGUGAUAGGGUGUUCCAAUGUUGUGCCUUAUCCCCACUUCAGCUAAGAACCGUCGGAAUCUUCUGUCAAUGAAGUGGCCCCCUCCAUCACUGAUAACUAGUCUGGGGGUGCCGAAGCGUGGAAAUAUGACUUCCUUGAACAUCUUUAUCGAAUGUGUAGAGUCGGCUGCUCUGCAGGGCAUUGCUUCGACCCACUUGGACACAUAGUCUACUGCCACUAGGAUGUACUCACACCCUUGUGACAAAGGGAAUGGCCCCAUGUAGUCUAUGCCCCAAGCAUCGAAUAUCUCGACUUGUAAGUUGUUUGUGAGUGGCAUUGCAUCACGAGUAUUGAUGUUCCCAUGCUUCUGACACCUUGCACAUCUCCUCACGAAGUUCUUUGUAUCUUCGUACAUGGUAGGCCAGUAGAAUCCACUCUGCCAUAUCUUGGCAUGGGUCCUGAAUGCUCCAUAGUGGCCUCCGUACUCUGCCCCAUGGCAUUUUUCCAUUAUUUUUACUGCUUCGUCCAUGGGAACACAUCUCCUGAGUAUGCCAUCUUGACAGACUCUGUAGAGGUAAGGAUCGUCCCAUAGGUGCACCCUACUCUCUUUAACAAGCUUCUUCUUGUCUACCCCAGAUGGUAUGUAUCCGGACGCCAGGUAGUUGACUAUGUUUGCAUACCAUGGGUAGGCUUCUGAAACUCGGAGGAGUGUGUCGUCUCGAAGGUAGUCGGUGAUAGGUGGAUCCUGUUUAUCCUCGAUUUGCAUCCCAGACAAGUGAUCGGCUACCGAGUUUUCUACUCCCUUUUUAUCUCUAAUUUCUAAGUCAAAUUCUUGGAGUAGUAGGAUCCAUCUUAUUAAUCUUGGUUUAGCAUCUUUUUUAGUGAGCAAGUAUUUUAGAGCUGCGUGAUCGGAGUAAACAAUCACCUUUGCUCCAACUAAAUAAGAUCUAAACUUGUCUAUAGCAAACACUACAGCCAACAGUUCUUUUUCAGUUGUUGCAUAAUUCAGCUGUGGUCCUGUUAGUGUUUUGCUAGCAUAAGAUAUUGCGUGAUGCUUCUUAUCUUUAGUCUGUCCUAAGACAGCACCUACAGCGUAAUCACUAGCAUCACACAUUAUCUCAAAAGGUAGCGACCAAUCAGGGGGUUGAAUGAUUGGUGCAGAGAUAAGUGCUUUCUUAAGAUAGUAAAAGGAAUCCAAGCACUCAUCAUUAAAAUCAAAGGGUGCAUCCUUAGCUAACAGGUUUGUUAAAGGUCUAGCAAUUUGAGAGAAAUCUUGUAUGAACCUUCUAUAAAAGCCUGCAUGGCCAAGAAAGCUACGGACGCCCCUAACAUUUGUGGGAGGAGGGAGCUGUUCUAUAACUUCAAUUUUAGCUCUAUCUACCUCUAUCCCACGUUCGGACACUCUAUGUCCUAACACUAUCCCUUCUCGAACCAUAAAAUGGCACUUUUCCCAGUUCAAGAUCAAGUGCUUCUCUUGGCACCUUUGUAAGACUCGGUCCAGGUUCUUUAGGCAAUCAUCAAAAGUUUUCCCAUAGACGGAGAAGUCGUCCAUGAAAACUUCCAUGAUUUCCUCGAUCAUAUCGGAGAAGAUGGACAUCAUGCACCUUUGAAAAGAGGCAGGAGCAUUGCAUAGGCCAAAAGACAUGCGCCUAUAUGCAUAUGUUCCGUAGGGGCAUGUGAAUGUAGUCUUACUUUGGUCGUCGGGAUGGAUUGGGAUUUGAUGGUAACCCGAAUACCCAUCAAGGAAGCAGAAGAAAGAGUGUUUGGCUAACCGUUCCAGCAUCUCAUCGAUGAAUGGCAACGGAAAGUGGUCUUUCUUAGUGGCCUUGUUAAGUUUUCGGUAGUCUAUGCACAUUCUCCAUCCCGUGACAGUCCGUUGAGGAAUGAGUUCAUUGUUGUCAUUUUUAACGACCGUCAUUCCUCCUUUCUUAGGAACUACUUGAACGGGGCUGACCCAUUCACUGUUCGGAACAGGGUAGAUUAUGCCCGCAUGCAAUAGUUUUAAGACCUCUUUCUUCACAACUUCUCUCAUCGCAUUAUUUAGCCUUCUCUGAGGCUCCCUGGAAGGUAUAGCAUCGGGUUCGAUAGGGAUGCGAUGAGUGCAGAGUGCAGGACUAAUUCCCUUAAGGUCUUCUAACGAGUAUCCUAAGACAGAGCGGCGUUCUUCUAAGACGAUGAUGAGUUUGGUGACUUCUUCUUCUGUCAGUUGAUCACUAAUGACUACCGGAGUCUCUCUAUCACCAUUAAGGAAGGCGUACUUAAGUCCAGAGGGAAGUGGCUUAAGUUCUAUAGAGGGUUUUGGUGGUGGUUUAGAUUCAUCCAAGUCUAAUGGUUCUUCUAAUCUGUUCUCUUCUUCUUGGAUGAAGUUUUCGGCGUCUUCUUCUAAGUCAGGCUGAGAAGCGUCCAGAAGAGAUGCCGACAUCACCUCCUUUAUUGGGUCAGGCUCGGGCGAGGUCUCGGCUUUAGAAUUAAUAGAGCCGGCAAAAGGCAUAGAAAGGUCUAAGCCCUUCCCGAGGUUACCCUUGAGACGCCCUUCAUGAAAUCCAUUUAGGAACCUCAUGAUGGGGUGCCCGAUUAACAAGUCAACUUCUUUCAUAUCAAAGAUAAAGAAGUUUAGCAGAAUGUUGACUUUGUUAAUGGAGACAGGAAUAUUCUGUGCAAUCCCACAACUCUCGACCAUUUCCCCAGAGGGUAAUUUAAGAAAUUUGCUGGUCGGGGUUAAUGGUUCCUCGCCUAGGAGUGUCAGUACUAAUGAUUUGGACAUUAGGCUUACUCCUACAGCAGGGUCAUAAAGGGAUUCUAUAGGAGUGGAGUUUAUGACACAGGGAAUGGGUGUAAAACUCGAGAGAAGUUUGAUGACAUCAGAUGAUGUCUCAGCUUCUCUAACCCAUUCAUUACUCAUAAUAGCCGUGAGUUCUUGGGCAGUUGCCCUGAGGUAACCAGCCUCAAGAUGAGCUGGGAUAUGGCUAUUCGGAGCUCUACGUGCUGUAGAUCUCCUUUGCACAGGUUGAUUCGAGACAUUGCCAAAAUCGGCAAAUAGAUCAGUCUCGAUGUUAAGUGGGUAAUCCAAGGGAUGAAUUACUUCUUCCCUUGGAGGUGCUUGUGGUAUUGGUUCAGGUUCGACGGCUUGGGUUGCGGCUAAAGGAGUUUUGGCUGUCGAAGGUUCAUCCCUAGGAGUUCGAUCUUCCUCAGGAGCUUCAAUAUGAUCAUCAGUGUAAGGGGUAUUCUCGAGAAUAGUCCCAAGAAUGGCCUUACCUUCACUGAUAGGUAAAUGAAGGAAUGCUCCCUUGGAGGCUAAAUCAAGGAAUUGUGCAGAUUGUUGGCUAAGUCCGAGGUAAAAAUGUUGCAUAAGAAUUGGCUCGGUUAUACCUAAGUCUGGGCCAGAUGAUNNNNNNNNNNNNNNNNNNNNNNNNNNNNNNNNNNNNNNNNNNNNNNNNNNNNNNNNNNNNNNNNNNNNNNNNNNNNNNNNNNNNNNNNNNNNNNNNNNNNNNNNNNNNNNNNNNNNNNNNNNNNNNNNNNNNNNNNNNNNNNNNNNNNNNNNNNNNNNNNNNNNNNNNNNNNNNNNNNNNNNNNNNNNNNNNNNNNNNNNNNNNNNNNNNNNNNNNNNNNNNNNNNNNNNNNNGUUCGAAUCUCGUAGGUGUGUGUAAGGAUUUUCAUCUCCUUCUCCCGAAAAGGGAUUCUCCUGAACCAUCGCUAUGAGACUCGGGCGAAGCUCAUAGUGACAGGCCAAAAUGGCUUUUGAUGAACUCGCUGGCUCCAACUCAGCGCCCGUUGGAGCAGCGUAAUCGAAGAGGGUUGUUUGAUCCAUUUGGAUAUGUGUAUAAAGUUUUAAAUCAAACAAAGAUAACUUAACGAUUUUUUUUCCUAGUUAAAACAGCUACCGUUCCCCGGCAACGGCGCCAGAAAGCUUGUUGACACCAGAAGUGGCAAACGGUUAUACCGCAAGCGUACGGUAGUCAAUGUAGCCUUCACCGGGAGUAUUCCAGGUAUCGUGAUUUCCACGGGGAACGCGAAGUGAAUUAACUAGGCUUUAGAUCGUUAGGUGAUGAUCAAAGGGUGUAGGAUAAUGGGGUAGAGAGGUCUAACUAGUAUUAAUGCCUGGUCUUGGUAAUUAAGUAUAGUCAAGGUUUUUCACCUAACUCUUUACUGAGGGCGAUACCCGAAAAGGAGGAUUGAGUUAACGAAGUUUUUCACCUCCUCGUCUCCUAAGCGACUACCCUGCUCAGCCCAACUAUUAUUUGCAACAUGCCUACAACAGAUGCGAGGAACUUUCCGCCUAGCGAGGACUGUCACUCUCACACUAGGUGUCUACACAACUGCGACAAGGAGUCCACACUGGCAAGAAGUAGUCUAGACACCACGUCUAAACUAGCUCUUGCUACCCUAAGCUUAGCUAAAGCUAAGAGCACUCAAGAUCAAGCAAUGUGCCAGUAAAGGAUUCUUAUACUUAAAGUACCAGACCAAAUAUUAAAUACUAGAAAAGACUCAGAAGUAAGACUUACAAGAAGACCUGCUUCCGCUGAGGUGCUCCGCGAAGAAGACUCCCGACAGGCCGGGACUCCUCCUUGGAACUCCUCACUCUCUACUCACUAUGAUAGCACUAAGCUACUAAAGUAGUUUACUCCUAAGAUACAUGACUCUUAAGUGAAGGAAUAGGGGGGUAUUUAUAGUGGGAGAUGGAGUAGGGGCUACUCCGAUGCCACGUCAGCGAUCCGCGUCAUCUUCAUCAUGCACCAUUGGAUCAAACCGACUUCACAACCGCCAUCUGAUCAACGGUAGAGGCAAACUAACAUGUGCAACAUGUGGGCAAGGUCGGUGGGAGGCCAACCGACCCUGGAACCGCCAUGAAGUGGGGUCGGCCGACCCCCUAUCUGGCUGGUUGGGCCCACCUGCAGUGUCCUGGAGGCUCUCUGAUGUCGGUGGAGUUGAGCUGACCUGUGGGACCCACCAAAGUGGGGUCGCCCGACCCCAAUUCUAUGGGGUUAGGGUGUCAGCCCUGUCCUACAUGUCUUCCUCUUCAUGACUAUAAUGUUGUCUUGGUUACUGGUGUCACUGAUCUUUAGUUAUUCACCCCUUCUUAGUGUUUGGACCCUUGAAAAGUACCUGUUCUUACUCCUGCAACCAAAUAGUAGCAUGUACAUGUGGAACUAGGUUAUAUGUACCUAUAUUACUACUUUGUUUGGUUGUUUUCUCCCAAAAUGAGUCUUAUGUUGACGGUUAUGAUAGUAGAAAACAUGGUAUAAAUACCGUCAACACCCCUGACUAGCUGGACCGUGGUAGUAGCGAGGAACGUGACAUUUCCGAGUUACCUUUGUAGAUCACAUCUCGUUAGCAGGACGGGUAGGUUUAUAGGUGCGGGUCGAACAUCCUUUGUCUUGUCUAGAUUCCGUGAGCCUCCCCAAUAGAACAGUAGAUCAUCCUUACCAAGGUUAGAACGAGACUACAGUUGCAGUCUUCUCUAUACAUCACUCACAUCGAGAAACAUUCUUUGUAGCCUAAAGGGAUAGUAGCAAUAGAUUUGGUUAGUAAGAUGCACCCUUUCUCCCAGUGGUAAAAAUAUAAAUACGAUAACUCUGGAAAACCUCCCGGGUGAAAUGCUCACCGAUAUCCGUGCGCUUGCGGAUCAUUUUCUAAUUGCGUUACCAAAUAUCAAUAGUUGUCUGCCCUUUGGGAUUAGAAAUCUAGAAGAUACAUGCAUGUCCUAGUGACUGCAUCCUCUACCGUGGGGAGGAAUACGAGAAUUUGGAGGCAUGUCCAGUAUGUAAGGCAUCACGGUAUAAGAUCCGGCGAGAUGAUCCUAGCGAUGUUGAGGGUGAAGAAUGUCAUAGCUAGGAAGAAAAUUUCUGUCAAGGUUAUGUGGUAUGCUCCUAUAAUACCAUGAUUAAAAUGUCUGUUCAGAAACAAGGACAAUGCAAAGUUGCUGCGGUGGCAUAAAGAAGACUGUAAGAUAGACAAUAUGCUGAGACACCCUGCUGAUGGAUCCCAGUGGAGAGCGAUAGAUAGAGAAUUCCUAGAUUUUGCAGAUGAUGCUAGAAACUUGCGUUUCACCUUAAGUACAGAUGGUAUGAAUCCUUUCGGUGAGCUGAGCUAUAGUCACAGCACUUGGCCAGUUACUCUAUGUAUCUACAACCUUCCUCCAUGGCUAUGCAUGAAGCGGAAGUUUAUUAUGAUGCCGGUGCUUAUCCAAGGACCAAAGCAACCUUGCAAUGACAUCGAUGUCUACCUGAGGCCAUUAGUUGAGGAACUUCAACUUUUAUGGAGCAAACCAAGAGUUCGCGUGUGGGAUGAGUACAAACUAGAGCACUUUGACCUGCGAGCAUUGCUGUUUGUAAUAAUCAAUGAUUGGCUAGCUCUUAGUAAUCUUUCAGGCCAGUCAAACAAGGGAUAUAAUGCAUGCACACAUUGUUAUGAAGACCUUGACUGUGUAUUUUUGAAAAAAUGUUGAAAGGUCGUGUAUCUUGGCCACCGUCGGUUUCUUCCUGUGAACCACCAAGUACGAAAGAAAGGCAAGCAUUUCAAAGGUAAGGCAGACCACCGGACCAAGCCUCUCAAUCGAACCGGGGAUGAUGUACUCGAAAUGGUCAAGGAUAUAAAAGUGGUAUUUGGAAAGGGGCGAGGCAGCGGACCUAUUCCCAAGGACGCUAAGGGACACGUACCCAUGUGGAAGAAGAAAUCCAUAUUUUGGGAGCUACCUUACUAGAAUGUCCUAGAUGUCCGCAACACGAUUGACGUGAUGCAUCUGACAAAGAAUCUUUGUGUGAACUUGCUCGAAUUCAUGGGUGUCUACGGGAAGUCUAAGGAUUCACUAGAAGCACGACAAGUCUUGUAGCGCAUGAAAGAAUGAGACAACCUACAUCUAGAAAAGAUAGAAGAUAGACGCCAUUACUUAAGCCCUGCUAGCUACACUCUGAGCAAAGAAGAGAAGGAAAGCAUGUUUGAAUGUCUUAGCAGCAUCAAGGUUCCAUCUAGAUUCUUCUCCAAUAUCAAGGGAAUAAUUAAUGUGCCAGAGAAUAAAUUCCUGAACUUAAAGUCCCAUGACUGUCACGUUCUAAUGAUGCAAUUGCUGCCGGUGAUUUUAAGAGGAAUUUUACCUCCACGCGUACGUCUAGCCAACAUAAAGCUAUGUGCAUUCCUCAAUGCAAUUUCUCAGAAGGCAAUCAAUCCAGAGCAACUAGCUACUCUGCAGAAUGAUGUCAUUCAAUGUCUCGUCCGCUUUGAGUUAGUGUUCCCUCCAUCCUUCUUCGAUACCAUGACACACCUCCUAGUUCAUCUGAUCAAAGAGAUUCGUAUUCUCGGUCCUGUGUUCCUACACAACAUGUUUCCCAUCGAGAGAUUCAUGGGUGUCCUAAAGAAAUAUGUCCAUAGUCAUUCCCGGCCAGAAGGAAGCAUUGCCAAGGGCUAUGGAACAGAGGAGGUCAUAGAGUUCUGUGUUGACUUUAUUCCAAACCUUGACCCAAAUGGCAUUCCUAAAUCUCGACACGAGGGCAGACUUAGCGGAAAGGGAACACUUGGGAAGAAAACGUAUAUUGGUAUGGGAGACGAUUACUUAAAUAAAGCACACUACACAGUUCUCCAGAACUCCUCAUUGAUGGAACCAUAUGUUGAGGUACACAAAGAUUUCCUACGGUCUCAGUGGCCUGGUAAGAUGAAGCUUGGAUAAUGCGUCAACACACGGAAACUUUUGGCGAUUGGUUGCGCAAAAAAUGUCAGGGUGAUGAAAACAUUGACGAGCAGCUUUAUUUGUUGGCCAGGCAACAAUCGUGGCAUGUCCUCACGUACAAAGGGUAUGAGAUAAAUGGUAACACAUUUUACACAGUUGGCCAAGAUAAAAGGAGCACCAACCAAAAUAGUGGAGUACGUGUGGAUGCCACGGAUCCAAACGGGACCAGACAAACAUAUUAUGGACGCACAGAAUACAUAUGGGAACUAGACUAUUGAAAGGUCCAAAUGGCUUGAGGGCGGGGUGAAUAGCCUAUUUAAAAAUUCUACAAACUUCACUAAGCAAGUAAGUUAGUAAAACAAAUGGCAAAGCAAUUCUAGCACUAGCUCAACUAAGCUAUGCGAGCCACCUAUACAAACUAGUACAAGGCUAAACACUAAGGCACAACAACAAGAGAACUAAGCUAAACAAGCUACACAACUAGCAAGGUAUGCACAUAAGUAAAGGAAAGGUGUGUGAUUGUUAUACCAACGUUGUAGAGUAGCAAAAUAGCCAAACAAUCAAUCACAAUUAUAAGAGAAUCCUUGGCAAGAGAUGACACAAGAUUUUUUACCGAGGUUCACUUGCUUUCUGGCAAGCUAGUCCUCGUUGUUGCGAUACCCACUUGAUGGAUCACGAGCUAAUUGGCAAUCCAAAGCCAAACCCUCAGUGGGUGCCGCACAUCCACUCACAAGAUGGGGAUCCUCCAAGCCACGAGCAAUCCACUAGAGUAGCCAAUUGCGAUCUCCGGUGGGGAAGGCUCAAGAACCCAUCACAAGUCACUUGGUGAGGCUCGAAACAAUCUCCAAUCACGAGCUCAACACCACCGCUGCUCCAAUCCAUCUAGGGCGUCGGGAAACACCCAAGAGUAACAAGAAAUCCUUAGCAAACUCAAGAAUCAAGUGCCACUAAAUGCAACUCUCAAAGCAAUGCACUUGAAUCUCACUCAAUCUCAAUAGGAUUAGCAAUCAAGCAAGGAGAUGAGUGGAGGGAAUGUUCUCUAGCUCAAUGUAUGCCUCAAGUAAUCAAAUGUGCAAGAGAGCGCCCCCUAAAGCCUGCCACCAACUAUUUAUAAGCUCCCUCAAAGAACUAGCCGUUGGCCACUUUCACUAGGCUGAAAUCGGGGGCACCGGACGCUACUAAGUGAGCACCCCCUAUGUCCGGUGCACAGGGUUAGGCCAUGUGUCCUACUUGAAUCUCGUGUGUCAGACUCUAACUGUCACCUGCGGACCACCAGACGCGUCCGGUGCACACUGGAAUCAUGCGCAGAGAGUUCCGCGAACCAGCAGGGUCACCGGACGUGAGCCACCGGACGCACCCUGAGCGUCUGGUGCUCACCGGACUUAAACACAGGGAGGGUUGCAAAACGCCCUCACACCGGACUCUCUAAGAGCGCGUCUGGUGCUCAACCCUAGCAGGGUUAAGCACACCAGACUCUGAGGCAAGCGUCCGGUGCCUCUGCACUCAGCGUCCGGUGAGUGUUUCUCAGUGAGAAAACACUCCCGUGACUUCUCCAAAAAUUCCCUCCGGCCCAAUAGAAAUAUACGCUUAUUUUUCUCAAAAGCGGCGAAUCCCGCCUCGCAAGAUCGGUGGGAGGGAGAGAGGAACCCACACCCCUCUCAACCCUAGGAACUCCACCUCCUUUAUAAAUGUGCUAACACCAACAAGUGUCCACCACCAAAGUGCAUGUGUGUUAGCUUUUCACAAACAUUUUCACUAAAGAAGUUAAGUUAGCACUUUGCUAGAUCGUAAUGCAUAUGCUCAAGAUAUGGACCUAGUAGCACUUGAUUUGAGAGAUGACCAUGAUUUCCCCUUUUGAUAGUCGGCUAUCUAUCCUAAACCCGGUCAAUCACUUCUCUACUCAUCUUAGACCGGCAAAAGUAAAACCCUAUGUUUAUACCUUUGCCUUGAUAACUUUGCUCCUCGUCUAUCAUCAUGAUCUCCACAUCGAGCAUCAUCUCUUUGUAGUCAUGUUUGUUGACACUAGCUAACACCACUUAGAUACUAGGUUGUCAUCCCCAGCAUGGUGCCAGAGUCUACGAAGGUAUUUAUAAAUGUAAAGGCUCUCUAGAAAAUAAUAUAUUCUAUCCGCAAGCGCACAGAUAAAACACCUCAUUGUAGCAUUUCACCAGGAUAAGUAUUUCAGGUAUCGUUAUUUAUAAUUUUGCUUAAGAGAACAAAAGGGAUGAAAUUAAAAUAAGGACAAAAUCCAUCAAGGCAUAGACUAGAGAUAAACUUGCAAGAACAUGAUUACUAAUGAGAAACUCGUCACACAGUCACUUACUUUAGCAGGGGCUAAACCAUAAAGAUAAUGAUAAUGAAUUAUAAGUUCAAGGGGUAAAUAACACAGCGUUUAGAAAAUAGACUACUCCUCAUAUAUGUAGGUGAUGUCAGAUUAGCUAGAGAAUGGAUUCUAAGUUAUCUACUAUCUACUAAGUCAUAAUCUACUCUAGUUAUCUACAAGAUCAUAUAUAGCAUAAAAGACUCUUCAUUCAUGUAUAAGGAACAUUGCUAAAGUAAAUUAGAUCAUCGCAAGACUUACUCCACAAUACCGGUUCUGCCUGUCCUAUCAACAGAGGGUGGACUAUAUAAGAAUCAACGAAGCUGUCACUAUCGCGAACUACCACACAACCCGGCCAAUAGGAUACAUUUGCAGAUAAAUAACAUCUAAGCACCACGCUCACAUGUGAUCUAUCACCUAACUCCCUCGCGUCAAGAGCUAAGCGCUUUGCAAACUUAUACAUAAACUCAUUAUCAAUCAUAACUAUAUCAAAUAUAGAACUAGAGCAAACUAAAAACAUAAUAUUUAGAGACAUAAUGCAAUUAGAACAAAGAAUUAGAGAAAGAUAUGAAUAAUACCAAUCUUUAUUACCGAAGAUCCGAAUCCAAAGCGUAGUGCUCUACUUCUCUAAUUGCUAUCUAAUCAAACCUCUAAACUUGAAGGAUUAGGGAGUAGCAAAUUCUAAUUCUCUGUGGGAGAGAAGCUCUAAACCCUAACUUUGAUGGCUACCUCUGAAUAAUGAUUUCUUCUCUUCUCUUCUCUCCUCCAGUGGUGGAGAGGCCUUGGUUUUAUAGUCCUUUCAAGUGAAUUUGGGCCGUCUGAUCAAACCGACAUUGAUUGUAUGGUUUAGAUUUAUCCUUUAGGUCAGUGGAGUUUAGUCCCAAAACAGAGUCCCGAUCCAACUCCUGGCCAGGGCGGGUGCCCAAGGGCGGUGGGCGGGCGCCCUGCCCCCGAGCCCGAUCGUGUUCUCGUUCGUUCCCGUGGCUUCUAGACUCUUCUAGAUUGAGGAAAAUUGCGCGGCAUGUAAUUAUCUCGUUGUAAACAUGACAUGUGGGCCUUCUCUCCAUAUUCUCUGAUAAUCCCCUGCAGAAAUAGAUAAACACCAAAGCUCUUGGAAUUCUGUCAGAUAAAACCUUAAUUCUAGAUGUUUGUUUCAUAUUGAUCGUUUUUCAUGUUUAUUUGAUUAUUAAUUUUAGUACUUAAGGACCGUCAACAAACUCCCCCAAGCUUACCCUUUUCUCAUCUCUUAGCAAACAGCUAAACUCAGACGGAUCAGGAGUUGCUUCGAUGUUUUCUUUCCUGACAGGCACACAUGCUUUUACAUAAAAAUUCUUCCAGAUUAGAGUGAAGUGUUAUGGAGCUUAGUACCUGCACUUAAGUCUUAAGUAAUUAAAAGAAAAAAUCAUUAAGUCAAGCACUAUUCCUCCUGUCUAUACUUCACCCUUGUUCUAGAGUUUUUCAUAAGUUUUCAAAAUAAAACUCAGAGAUCCCAGCAAUGAUUCUCUCAAGUCUCUCUAUAUGUGGUAUUUGUGGAUCCUUACCAAAAUGUCACUUACCUAUAGCUAAUGGAAUAUUUAAGUGAAGCUCAUAGGAGUGAAAAACAGCUCAUAUAUAUGUUGUCUAAUCGAGCCAUGGAUCCAAAGGAACUCAGCAUAUAAUUAAAUCAAGAUGUGCAUGUGUGUGGAGUAAAUGAUAGUGAUGGUAAAAAUGCAUAAGUGAUAAACUUACUUCUCAUUGCUCCUUAUAUUGCUAUCUCUCCUCCUCUUUGAUCUUUGCUUUCGGAGAACAUGGGCUAUCUUUUUCUUUUCUUUUCUCAGGUGGGUAGUAGAUACCCCUAAUUCUACUGUCGGACACUUGUCCAUUUUUUCCGCUCAAGUGGUUGUUGGGUAUUUUAAAUGCAAACAGAAAAAAUCCGCAAGCGCACAGAUACCGAUGUAGCUUUCACCCGGGAGUAUUCCAGAGUAUCGAUUUUCCACAAGGAACGUGAGUGUACUAAUUAAGAUCCAAGAUCCCCCAAGGAUAACUAUAUAAUUAUUUUUGGUGGGAAGAGAGGAAGUUUCCUGAGAGUUCUCUAGUUGAUCUAAGAAUCAAGAAUUACUUCAAGAUUAUCUAUAUCGGGACAUCAGAGCACUAACCACAGAAAGAGAUGAGAAGGGGGCUAGGAAGGUCUGACUACGGUCCUACAAACACCAAUCCGAACGUGGUGGAAUACGUCGACCGUUAGGGCUGUCACUACCCUAAGGCUACCACAACAAUCCGCAGAAUUGGGUGCAAUUCCAGGUAAUUGCAAGACUAAACACCACGUCUAAUCUAUUAAUUACUACUCUAGCGUUAUAAAGACUAGAGCACUUGAUGCAAGCGGGAAUCCAAUAAAUAACUUGAAUGUAAAUAAAAGUAAUUAAAGAACUCAGGAAUUAUGAAUUAAAGAACCUGGAGAACGAUGAAGAACGAACCAGAUGCUGCAAAAGUAUAAUGUUGAGGAAGAUCCGACAGAUCCGGCUCCUCCUCUGCUCUCCUCUUCUCUCUCCCUAUUUUCUAGAUUACAACUAGAACUAACUAGAACUAGAUCUAGAUGAACUAGAGGUAGAACUAGAAGAACUAGAGGGAUCCUCUCUACUUGGAUGAAGAAUUGAAACCCUAGCUUUGAUUCUGUAGAAGAGGUAUGAUCUCCAGGGGCCAGGGGGUCUGGUUUUAUAGUCGCUUCAAGUGAAUCUGGGCCGUCGGAUCAAACCGACAUUGAUCGUGUGGUUUUCCUUGAAGUAUUAGGUUGGUGGAGCAUGAUCCCCGAGCUUCACCCUGAUUGGUCCAGGGGGAGGGCGGGCGCCCUCAGGACUAGGGCGGGCGCCCUGUCCCUGAGGCCUCUCGGCUUCCGCUUUGGUCCCGUGGCUUCUGGAGUCUUCUAGAUGAUAGAAAAUUGCGCGGCACGUUAAUAUCUCUAUGUAAACCCAACGUGUGGGCCUUUCCUCCAUAUUUCCUGAUAACCCCCUGCAGAAAUAGACAAACACCAAAACUCGUGGAAUUCUGUCAGAUAAAACCCUAAGUCUAGGUGUUGGUUGCAUUUGGAUCCUUUUCUAUGAUUAAUUGAUGGUUAAUUAUGUGCAUUAAGGACCGUCAACAAGCUCCCCCAAGCUUAACCUUUGCUCGUCCCUGAGCAAAGAUGAACUCAAGAGUUUCUGCAGUGGUUUCAUAACUUAAAGAUACACAUGCGUUUAAACAAGAUCUCAUCUCUGGUUAGAGUAAACUGUUAAGACUUAAAACUUACUCAUUUACCUUUCACCAUGGGACUUGUAACCGUCACUUCUGUCUUGAGUAGUUAAAAGAUAGAACGGUCUAGUCAAGCACCAUGUCUCUUAUUCUUGAUCAGCUAUAGUUCUGGAGUUUUUGCAGAUUUUCAAAUAAAACUCAGAGAUUCCUUGUAUGACUCUCUCUAGUCUCUCUUUUGUGGUAUUUCUGGAUCCUUACCAAGGCAGUAAUGGUAUAUGCCUUCUCUCAAAGUAUGUGGUAUUUGUAGUAUGAAGCAUGGUGGUAUUGCCUUCUCUCUCACCCUACUCUAAUCAGGUUUUGAUAUCUGGAGCUCAUAGGUGGGAGACAGCUAAUACAUACUUACAAGACAUUUAUUGCAUAGUCAAACCAUGGAUCCAGAAGAACAAGUCAAUAAGUCAAAUCAAGAUGUGCAUGUGUGGCGAAUGAAUGGUGCUUGGUGAUGAUGGUCAUAACAAUGGUGAAAGUCUAAUUCUACUUGUGCUCUUUUGAGGGGAUACAUACCUUUCUUGCUCUUUUGAAACUUUUUGAGGAGAAUGAGAUGCUCUAUAUUUUCUUUUUCUUUUCUCUCAGGUGGGUAUUUUGUACCCCUAAUUCUACUGUCGGACACUUGUCCAUUUUUACCUCUCGUCUCACUUUUCUUUUCUUUCGAGGUUCCGGGCACUUGCCCCUUUUUAUUUCCUCGUAUUUUUUUUUCUCUCUUUUUUUUUCUUCUUUUUUUUUUCUUCUUUUUUUUUCUUCUUUUUUUUAGAGCACUCAUCUCCUGAAAUAAUAUAGCAAGUGGUAGUAACCAAGAUAACUUGAGCAUUUAUUUCACAGGGGAAAAACAGAAAUAUUUUUGGCUAUUCUCUCCCGGAUUAGGAGUAGAAUAUUUUUGGGUGGUUCUGGAGAUGGAAAUGGAUAUAUGUGGAUGCGUACUUCCGGAGUAGAAGCAGCAUGUAUGAGUGAACGUGCAAGUGAAUCUUGAUUUAACCACAUGACAAGCUCCUAAGGGUCUACAAAGCUUGACCACACUCAAUGCUCAUAAGCAGUAAAAAGUAAAUGUGUGGCUCAAAGUCUAGCAAGCAUGUAUAUAUGGCUGUGGUAGGAAUUUAAACUCUCAUCAUACAGGAACUCAUCAUGUGAUAUUUUAAAGAUUUUCAAAGAUAAAAUUCUCCAGAAUUCUAGCAUCUCUAGGAACAGAUAAACAACAGCUCAACCUUCCCAUAUCGUAUCCGUUAACGACUUAGACUUUAGAUCAAGUACUCUCCCCACAAGUUCAGGUUUAGAGCAAAUGUUAAUUAAUAACAGUCAUGCCUAAACUUAAGAGAGAUUUCAAUUUUGAGAAUUUAGUCAUGGCAGAGCAACUAAUCAUCAUUUCCAUGUGAGAGCUUAUCAUGAGGGUUCAUAGCAAACUUUAUUUAUUUAUUUAUUUAGCAAACUAAGCAAAGAUAUAAGCACAAAAUCUUUGUUUUAUGAUUAUGCGUAUUUUUAUUAUUUGAGUAAAGUAUAACCAUGAGUAGAACACUUAGCUGGAUAAAUGGGGGUUGCUCUCCCCCAAGCUGGGUUUUGACGUAAUUCCUUCUGAUGUAGCUAGCAGCUGGCGGAGGUGUAUUUGAAUGUCGGCAGCACUCUGUCAGCGAUUAGGAUGUCCUCCGUCUGCUAGUCUUCUUUGAUCCUUGAAUUCUGUGGAGCUCAAAUAGACAACAAAGCUUUGUGGAACUGGUUAAGUGUUAGCAUAAAUAUCUAGCCUUUAUCAUAUUGAGCCUCCUCAAUAAAUAUUACUCUCUUUAGCAGGAUCAUAAAUUUAUUUUUAUAAUUUUAUUUUUAUAGGACAGAAAUAUAUUUAUUUUAUUUUUAUGCCACCACAGUGAAUGUACUUAUGGGUUUUAUGCCAUUAGCAUACUCACAUGGGGCUUACUAUUUUUAACAUUUUUAUUUUCUUUUUAAGAUGAUAUGAACCUGAUUAACUAAGCAAAAUGUUUUAAAUAAUUGAAAGGAAAAAUAUAACUACCAAGUUUACCUCAUGGCAAGGCGUUCGGUGUUUUUAAGUCCUCCGAACAGGACUCUCUAUUUUCUCAUUCGUCCAGGGAUUCGCUGGAUGGCGUAGUCGGUGGUUCCGGCGGUGCCUUCUCUUCGUGUAUAACUAUCUUCUCUCUCCACACCUGACUCGGUGCUACGGUCUCCUCAGGACAGUUCUGUUCAAGCUGUAUGUCUUCAGAUCUUACUACUUCUCCUUCGUAGUCUACCCAUCCGUCCUUGAUGAUUUGUCUUCUCUGGUUGCGGUUGCGUCGUCUUCUUCUUGUCCUGACCUGCUUAGUGUCAACUAUAUAGUUAGGGUCAGUAAAAUAGCAGCGUACCUUCUCAGAGGGGAAGUGCAUGUGGACUUCUCCGGUUCCAAUGUAGAUGAUUGCUUUAACAGUGCUGAGGAACGGUCUUCCAAGGAUGAUGGGUGGAUCGUACUUGUCUUCUCCCAUGUCAAUAACCUUAAAAUCAUUUGGAGCUGAAUGUAUGUCGGUUUUAGGGGCAUGGUUCCGAAUAGGAGCUGAUAGGUGACUGGCAUCCAUUAUGUUGACACCUAACCCGGUGUCGCAAAGCAUCUUCUGGAAGUUGUAUCCAUCAAUGGAGCACUGGAUGCUUGGCAUACUUGGGUCAUCCUUUUUGGUUAGGAACGAUGACUUAAGUCGACGAUCUUGACCUCCUUGAACUGCAGUGACCAUCUUUGCUGACUUGGUCCACAUUUGCUUGUUCCUGUUCCUCCUGUUGGUCCUCUUCCUUGGUUCAUGUCGCGAUUGCUCUGAGAUUUGUGUAAUCUUGUUCUUGAAGGAAAACGUCUCCGUCCUUCCCUUGAUGUAGAAACUGAUCUUGGCAGCACUAGCGUACAUGACAGCUCAGUCUCUAUCACCACGAAGUGUGCUGGAGCGUAUAAGGUACCAACUCGGACGUAGAGGUUCUUCAAUAUUUACUUUGGGAAACUUAGUUUCUGAUCUGCAAGCUGCAAACACAUGGUUGUUCCUAGGAAAGGAUGUGUAAAGAAUUUUUUAUAGAGUACCCUGAGCAUAAUGUUGACGCUGGAGCCAAAGUUGCAGAGUGCUUCUAGGAAGUCCACCAUGCCGAUGGAGAUCGGGAUGACGGGACAUCCUGGAUUGUAUCUCUUGACCGGCAGAAGGUCCGUAAUUACUUCCACAACAGGGUUACUCCAGUAGUUACGUCCUCAAGCAUCUCAGGGCAGUGAUUGCCUAAGUGUCCAGUAUUUCCAGUGUGUUUGUGCUCGUAGAUCUAGGUACUUCACUUGGUGGAGUCUGGGAGUUAUAAAAGUCCUUCAUAUUUUGCUCGAAGUGUACCUGUUCAUAGAGACAAGGCAGAGAUCAAGCGCAUGGGCUCUGUUGGUGGAAAACACCAACAGAACCAAAAGUGUAUUUGUUCUUCUCUAUCCUUAAGCAUAGUGAGCAAGACAAAGUUGAUGAAUAAUAAGAUCAUGAGUAUAACAUUUAAAACAUUUGUCAGAUUAGAUUGCUCAACCUUAUGGAAAGAUAAUCUAUCUAUAUAUAUGUUUUGUUUAUAUCUUCCAAAGAUUGAGUGUGCAACAUUUUAGCUAAUAUGAUUAGGAGUGUGGAAUCACAAUGGUGGAAGGACUAAACAUGUUGAAUCGAUUGGGUUGGUUAAUCUAGAGUUGUAGAUCAUACAUGUUUGUCUCUUUUAUUCAUGUGAACGCCAGAACCAAGGAGAAGCUUAUAGAAGUGAUAGUCAAGUACCUUAAGAUGUUACCUUACUUGAAGAGUGAUGGUACAGUAUCACCUUGUGGAAGCUUUCCUCUCUUAGUGGUUGUGCAACGUGUUUGUGGCACCCUCUAGGGAUCAUCUCUUGUGAGCUAUGCCUUCCUUGUGUAAAUUGUUAAACUUCAUGUGCCUCUCUCUUUGUCUCCAAUGUGAGUUUGUCUCAGGACUUCCCAGGUCGAUAUUGAAAGUUUUCCUGCAGGGGUUAGUCCAACAAAAUAUCCAAUAUCUACUAUAGCAUACUAUCGGCUCAAAGAUCAACCUAGACACCGUGUCUAAUUUGAUUUAGGAGGGAAUUUUAACCUAAGCAUCAAGCUUAAUUUAAAAAUCCUUUGGAAGUAAGAGCAUCAUUCCUAAACUAAGCACCAUGCUUAAUUAAGAGAUAAAUGAAACUACUCCAAACCUAGACAUAUACUAAAGCAAAUAAAGGUAGCAUGAGAGCAUUUGUAAAGAUCUACUCAAGUGGAGAUGAAGUAGUGUGAUUAGUAUUUAACAAAUUGAGCAUGUCUCAAAGGUAGGGACAACCAACAUAGCAACAUGGCAAAUUAUGUUUUUAUAUAAAGUACUCCCCCAAGCUUGAAUUUUGCAAAAUUCAAGUUUGGAUGAAUUUAAUUCAAUGUUGUAUGAUAGUUGGUUGGACAUACCUUGUGCUUGUCAUUCAUCUGAUCUUCUUGCUCCAAUCCUGGAAAGGUUAGUGACAAGAAUACCCAGAGAAAUAUUUUUACAAUUAUCCUUAUAUGCUCAACACACAAGGUAAUGUUGUAAAUAAUUAAAAGCUCAUGUUGCAAUCUGAUCAGUGCUUGUUUUAGGACACUAAGCUUGUCCUUGGGAAACCCUCAAUUUAUGUCGGCGAAGUGGUUUCCCCUCCAACGCUGACCUAUAUCAAGAUCAAUUCAACGAGAUCUGCAAAAUUUAUUAUAGACAUAUGCAUCGACAACCGCCCUUUUAAAGUUUUUAUAAAUAGAAAGAAAGUGGGGGUUGGAGAUCUCGAAUGUGGUGAUGUUGGAGAGACCAAUGGAUUUUGAAGAUGUUGCAUAUGAGCAUGGAGUAAAUGAAAUUGCUAUGAAAUAAAUUCCAUGCUCAUUAAUGCUUAGAGUAAAAUCCAUGUGGUAUGGUGAAAAUGGUAAGGUGAGUGUGGUAAAAAAGGAAAAGAAAAAGGAUACACGGACGACUUGGUUCGAAACUAGCACAGCUACCGUUCCCCGGCAACGGCGCCAGAAAGCUUGUUGGGUAUUUUAAACGCAAACAGAAAAAAUCCGCAAGCGCACGGAUACCGAUGUAGCUUUCACCCGCGAGUAUUCCAGAGUAUCGAUUUUCCACAAGGAACGUGAGUGUACUAAUUAAGAUCCAAGAUCGCCCAAGGAUAACUAUAUAAUUAUUUUUGGUGGGAAGAGAGGAAGUUUCCUAAGAGUUCUCUAGUUGAUCUAAGAAUCAAGAAUUACUUCAAGAUUAUCUAUAUCGGGACAUCAGAGCACUAACCACAGAAAGAGAUGAGAAGGGGGCUAGGAAGGUCUGACUACGGUCCUACAAACACCAAUCCGAACGUGGUGGAAUACGUUGACCGUUAGGGCUGUCACUACCCUAAGGCUACCACAACAAUCCGUAGAAUUGGGUGCAAUUCCAGGUAAUUGCAAGACUAAACACCACGUCUAAUCUAUUAAUUACUACUCUAGCGUUAUAAAGACUAGAGCACUUGAUGCAAGCGGGAAUCCAAUAAAUAACUUGAAUGUAAAUAAAAGUAAUUAAAGAACUCAGGAAUUAUGAAUUAAAGAACCUGGAGAACGAUGAAGAACGAACCAGAUGCUGCAAAAGUAUAAUGUUGAGGAAGAUCCGACAGAUCCGGCUCUUCCUCCGCUCUCCUCUUCUCUCUCCCUAUUUUCUAGAUUACAACUAGAACUAACUAGAACUAGAUCUAGAUGAACUAGAGGUAGAACUAGAAGAACUAGAGGGAUCCUCUCUACUUGGAUGAAGAAUUGAAACCCUAGCUUUGAUUCUGUAGAAGAGGUAUGAUCUCCAGGGGCCAGGGGGUCUGGUUUUAUAGUCGCUUCAAGUGAAUCUGGGCCGUCGGAUCAAACCGACAUUGAUCGUGUGGUUUUCCUUGAAGUAUU
rnacentral:lncRNA from 1 species